AGUCGAGCGAUGGAUUAAGAGCUUGCUCUUAUGAAGUUAGCGGCGGACGGGUGAGUAACACGUGGGUAACCUGCCCAUAAGACUGGGAUAACUCCGGGAAACCGGGGCUAAUACCGGAUAACAUUUUGAACCGCAUGGUUCGAAAUUGAAAGGCGGCUUCGGCUGUCACUUAUGGAUGGACCCGCGUCGCAUUAGCUAGUUGGUGAGGUAACGGCUCACCAAGGCAACGAUGCGUAGCCGACCUGAGAGGGUGAUCGGCCACACUGGGACUGAGACACGGCCCAGACUCCUACGGGAGGCAGCAGUAGGGAAUCUUCCGCAAUGGACGAAAGUCUGACGGAGCAACGCCGCGUGAGUGAUGAAGGCUUUCGGGUCGUAAAACUCUGUUGUUAGGGAAGAACAAGUGCUAGUUGAAUAAGCUGGCACCUUGACGGUACCUAACCAGAAAGCCACGGCUAACUACGUGCCAGCAGCCGCGGUAAUACGUAGGUGGCAAGCGUUAUCCGGAAUUAUUGGGCGUAAAGCGCGCGCAGGUGGUUUCUUAAGUCUGAUGUGAAAGCCCACGGCUCAACCGUGGAGGGUCAUUGGAAACUGGGAGACUUGAGUGCAGAAGAGGAAAGUGGAAUUCCAUGUGUAGCGGUGAAAUGCGUAGAGAUAUGGAGGAACACCAGUGGCGA
rnacentral:rRNA from 1 species